rnacentral:rRNA from 1 species
GGGGAAUUUUGGACAAUGGGCGAAAGCCUGAUCCAGCCAUGCCGCGUGCGGGAAGAAGGCCUUCGGGUUGUAAACCGCUUUCGGACGGAAAGAAAUCGCACGGGUCAAUACCCUGUGUGGAUGACGGUACCGUAAGAAGAAGCACCGGCUAACUACGUGCCAGCAGCCGCGGUAAUACGUAGGGUGCGCGCGUUAAUCGGAAUUACUGGGCGUAAAGCGUGCGCAGGCGGCUUUUUAAGCCAGACGUGAAAUCCCCGGGCUUAACCUGGGAACUGCGUUUGGAACUGGAAAGCUAGAGUGUGUCAGAGGGGGGUGGAAUUCCGCGUGUAGCAGUGAAAUGCGUAGAUAUGCGGAGGAACACCGAUGGCGAAGGCAGCCCCCUGGGAUAACACUGACGCUCAUGCACGAAAGCGUGGGGAGCAAAC